UCUCAGCAACUAGCAUUUGAUAUUUGUCUUUAAGAGUAGCAGCAUUAAGAUCUUUAAAGUCUAUGCAGACUCUAAGGGUGUCAUUUUUCUUAAUAAUUGGAAUAAUAUUAUCAAGCCACUCGACAUUUCUGACAGGUCUAAUGAACUUGCUCCGAAGUAAUCUCUCGAUCUCAGCUUUGAUCUUGGACAUAAUUUCAGGCGCGAACCUUUAUG
rnacentral:lncRNA from 1 species